GCCUGGCUAGCUCAAUCGGUAGAGCGUGUGACUCUUAAUCACAAGGCUGCGGGUUCGAGCCCCGCGUUGGGCU